GUCGAGAAUCUUCCGCAAUGGGCGAAAGCCUGACGGAGCAAUGCCGCGUGAGGGAUGAAGGCCUUCGGGUCGUAAACCUCUGUCGCCCGGGACGAAUUUUUGACGGUACCGGGAGAGGAAGCUACGGCUAACUACGUGCCAGCAGCCGCGGUAAUACGUAGGUAGCGAGCGUUAUUCGGAUUUACUGGGCGUAAAGGGUCCGCAGGGGGCCCGCCAAGUCUGAUGUGAAAGCCUACGGCUCAACCGUGGAAGGGCAUCGGAUACUGGCGGGCUAGAGUGCACGAGGGGUAGACGGAAUUCCAGGUGUAGCGGUGGAAUGCGUAGAUAUCUGGAAGAACACCGAUGGCGAAAGCGGUCUACUGGCGUGUUACUGACCCUCAGGGACGAAAGUGUGGGGAGCAAACAGGAUUAGAAACCCCAGUAGUCC
rnacentral:rRNA from 1 species